UACGUAGGGUGCAAGCGUGUCCGGAAUUAUUGGGCGUAAAGAGCUCGUAGGCGGUUUGUCGCGUCUGCUGUGAAAACUCAGGGCUUAACCCUGAGCCUGCAGUGGGUACGGGCAGACUAGAGUGUGGUAGGGGAGAUCGGAAUUCCUGGUGUAGCGGUGGAAUGCGCAGAUAUCAGGAGGAACACCGAUGGCGAAGGCAGAUCUCUGGGCCGUAACUGACGCUGAGGAGCGAAAGCGUGGGGAGCGAACAGG
rnacentral:rRNA from 1 species